GACGAACGCUGGCGGCGUGCUUAACACAUGCAAGUCGAACGGAAAGGCCCUGCUUUUGUGGGGCGCUUGAGUGGCGAACGGGGGAGUAACACGCGAGUAACCUGCCCUUGACUUUGGGAUAACUUCAGGAAACUGGGGCUAAUACCGGAUAGGAGCUCCUGCUGCAUGGUGGGGGUUGGAAAGUUUCGGCGGUUGGGGAUGGACUCGCGGCUUAUCAGCUUGUUGGUGGGGUAGUGGCGUACCAAGGCUUUGAAGGGUAGCCGGCCUGAGCGGGUGACCGGCCACAUUGGGACUGCGGUACGGCCCAGACUGCUACGUGAGGCAGCAGUGGGGAGUAUUACGCAAUGGGGGGACGCCUGAUGCAGCAACGCCGGGUGCGGGAUACCGGCCUUCGGGUUAUGAACCGCUUUCGCCUGUGACGAAGCGAGAGUGACGGUAAUGAGUAAAGAAGCACCGGCUAACUACGUG
rnacentral:rRNA from 1 species